rnacentral:rRNA from 1 species
UAAGGAAUAUUGCUCAAUGGGAGAAAUCCUGAAGCAGCAACGCCGCGUGGAGGAUGAAGGGUCUAUGACUUGUAAACUCCUGUAAAGAAGGAAAAAAUUCCCAUUAGAUGGGAGAUGAUGGUACUUCUGGAGUAAGCCCCGGCUAACUACGUGCAAGCAGCCGCGGUAAUACGAAGGGGGCAAGCGUUGUCCGGAUUUACUGGGUGUAAAGGGUGCUCAGGCGGAUUUGUAAGUCAGAGGUGAAAUCUUACAGCUUAACUGUGAAACUGCCUUUGAUACUGCAAACCUAGAGUAUGGAAGAGAGUGAUGGAAUAUCUGGUGUAGCAGUGAAAUGCGUAGAUAUCAGAUAGAACACCAAUGGCGAAGGCAGUCACUUGGGCCAUUACUGACGCUAAAGCACGAAAGCGUGGGUAGCAAACA